GGACAAUGACGAAAUUAUGAAAGGUCUCGUUCGGCAUAUUGGCUAACAAGCCAUGCUGACCAUUCUGAAAAGAUCACCACCCAUAACCUGAUGUCC
rfam:Physcomitrella patens subsp. patens PHYPAscaffold_101 genomic scaffold, whole genome shotgun sequence.